AGAUACAGGACUCUUUGGACACUCGUAAACAGGUGGUGCAUGGUAGUCGUCAGCUCGUGUCGUGAGAUGUUCGGUUAAGUCCGGCAACGAGCGCAACCCUCGUCCUAUGUUGCCAGCACGUAAUGGUGGGAACUCAUGGGAUACUGCCGUGGUCAACACGGAGGAAGGUGGGGAUGACGUCAAAUCAUCAUGCCCCUUAUGUCUUGGGCUUCACGCAUGCUACAAUGGCCGAUACAAAGGGCUGCGAUACCGCGAGGUGGAGCGAAUCCCAAAAAGUCGGUCUCAGUUCGGAUUGGGGUCUGCAACUCGACCCCAUGAAGUAGGAGUCGCUAGUAAUCGCAGAUCAGCAACGCUGCGGUGAAUACGUUCCCGGGCCUUGUACACACCGCCCGUCAAGUCACGAAAGUCGGUAACACCCGAAGCCGG
rnacentral:rRNA from 1 species